rnacentral:sRNA from 1 species
CUGGGGACCGAACCCAGGGCCUUGCGCUUCCUAGGUAAGCACUGUACCACUGAGCUAAAUCCCCAGCCCUGAAUGCUCACUCUUCUGAUGUCCAUAACAUUAGUACUUUAAUGCAGAUUUGGUAAUAGUCAAUCAAUAUUAUGUUAUAUGGCAAAAGAGUAGAAGAAAGAAAACAAACAGUUGUCCUGCAUGUGUAUAUAUGUACACACAUAUUCUUAAGAAAAUAGGAAAGAAACAGUUGGGCGGUCACGUGGCAUCUGUUAUAGCACUCAUGGAGAUUGCAGCUGUUGAGACCCUCUAGGCUACAUGAUGAAACUUGUCAGAAAAACAAAGAAAGUUGAGUGUGCAGGCCUGGGCUGGAUAUGUGUGUGGCUCUGGCGGGAGAGAUCAUGUCCUUUGAAGCAGAGGUUGUGGAGUCUGUAACUGAAGUGGCAGAAGACAUGGUAACAGCAACAACCACUUUUCAGAGGCAAUGGAAGAGGAGAUUGGACAAGAGCAUAGCCACAACAGAGGCCACGACCAAAGACGUACACUGUGUAUUUUUAUUUCAAAUGUGUUAUAUUAGUUUGUUUGUGUGUAUAUGGGGGGAGGGCAAACUUACACAUGCUGUAGCAUGCUUGUGAAGGUCAGAGGACACCCUGUAGAAAUCAGUUCUCACUGUCUACCAUUUUGGGUUCCAGGGAAUUGAACUCAGGUCAUUAAGCUGGGUGAGAGAGUCAUCUCUGUAGCCAGAGCAUUGUGUCCAUGUUUGAAGAGUUCCUUCAAUCUCCGUGGGGAUGAGUUUGUAAAGGUACCAUAGAAGACAAUAAGAUACCUUUUUUUUCUUUUUAAAUUUUAUAUGUAUCGGUGUUUUGGAAUGUAUGUGCAUGCCCACAGAAGUCAGAAAAGGGCAUCAGGCCUUCAACUGUCAUUGCAGACGGUUGUGAACCAUCAUGUGGAUGCAGGAUCUCUGGAAGAGCAGCCAGUGCUCUGACCCACUGAACAGCCUCUGCGCUAAAGAGGUCCUGAGUUCAACUCCCAGCAACCACAGGGUGGCUCAUGACCAUCUGUAAUGGAAUCCGAUGCCCUCUUCUGGUGUAUGUGAAGACAGCUACAGUGUAACUCAUACAUAGAAUAAAAUAAAUUAAAAAAAAAAAAGAAUGAAAGUAAAUACUUAUAUUCCACCAUGUCUGGGCCCACUGGACAUAGUCA